rnacentral:misc_RNA from 1 species
GAUGAAGAACGCAGCGAAAUGCGAUACUUGGUGUGAAUUGCAGAAUCCCGUGAACCAUCGAGUCUUUGAACGCAAGUUGCGCCCGAAGCCAUUAGGCCGAGGGCACGCCUGCCUGGGCGUCACACGUCGUUGCCCCCCCAUCUACUCCUUCGGGAUUGCGGGGGGCGGAUGAUGGCCUCCCGUGCGCCUCGUCGCGCGGUUGGCAUAAAUGCCAAGUCCUCGGCGACGCACGCCACGACAAUCGGUGGUUGCGAAACCUCGGUUGCCCGUCGUGUGCGGUCGUCGCGCAUCGAGGGCUCGAAAAAAUUGCCGGGCUCCGGCUCGGCUUUCAACGCGACCCCAGGUCAAGCGGGGUUACCCGCUGAAUUUAAGCAUAUCAAUAAGCGGAGGA